rnacentral:rRNA from 1 species
UCCAGACUCCUACGGGAGGCAGCAGUCGGGAAUAUUGCGCAAUGGAGGAAACUCUGACGCAGUGACGCCGCGUAUAGGAAGAAGGUUUUCGGAUUGUAAACUAUUGUCCACAGGGAAGAAAAAAGACUGUACCUGUGAAGAAAGCUCCGGCUAACUACGUGCCAGCAGCCGCGGUAAUACGUAGGGGGCGAGCGUUAUCCGGAUUCACUGGGUGUAAAGGGAGCGUAGACGGCCAUGCAAGCCAGGGGUGAAGGCCCGGGGCCCAACCCCGGGACUGCCCUUGGAACUGCAUGGCUGGAGUGCGGGAGGGGCAGGCGGAAUUCCUGGUGUAGCGGUGAAAUGCGUAGAUAUCAGGAGGAACACCGGCGGCGAAGGCGGCCUGCUGGACCGCGACUGACGUUGAGGCUCGAAAGCGUGGGGAGCGAACAGGAUUAGAUACCCCUGUAA